AACGAACGCUGGCGGCAUGCCUAACACAUGCAAGUCGAACGAUGGUCUUCGGAUCAUAGUGGCGCACGGGUGCGUAACGCGUGGGAAUCUGCCCUUGGGUUCGGAAUAACAGUUGGAAACGACUGCUAAUACCGGAUGAUGUCGAUAAGACCAAAGAUUUAUCGCCCGAGGAUGAGCCCGCGUCGGAUUAGCUAGUUGGUGGGGUAAGGCCUACCAAGGCGACGAUCCGUAGCUGGUCUGAGAGGAUGAUCAGCCACACUGGGACUGAGACACGGCCCAGACUCCUACGGGAGGCAGCAGUGGGGAAUAUUGGACAAUGGGCGCAAGCCUGAUCCAGCAAUGCCGCGUGAGUGAUGAAGGCCUUAGGGUUGUAAAGCUCUUUUACCCGGGAAGAUAAUGACUGUACCGGGAGAAUAAGCCCCGGCUAACUCCGUG
rnacentral:rRNA from 1 species